AUUGAACGCUGGCGGCAUGCCUUACACAUGCAAGUCGAACGGUAACGCGGGGCAACCUGGCGACGAGUGGCGAACGGGUGAGUAAUGUAUCGGAACGUGCCCAGUAGUGGGGGAUAGCCCGGCGAAAGCCGGAUUAAUACCGCAUACGACCUAAGGGUGAAAGCGGGGGAUCGCAAGACCUCGCGCUAUUGGAGCGGCCGAUAUCAGAUUAGGUAGUUGGUGGGGUAAAGGCCUACCAAGCCGACGAUCUGUAGCUGGUCUGAGAGGACGACCAGCCACACUGGGACUGAGACACGGCCCAGACUCCUACGGGAGGCAGCAGUGGGGAAUUUUGGACAAUGGGCGCAAGCCUGAUCCAGCCAUGCCGCGCGCGGGAAGAAGGCCUUCGGGUUGUAAACCGCUUUUGUCAGGGAAGAAAAGGUCUGAACUAAUACUUUGGGCUCAUGACGGUACCUGAAGAAUAAGCACCGGCUAACUACGUGCCAGCAGCCGCCGUAACAC
rnacentral:rRNA from 1 species